GUGCGAGGGUUAUCAAGGGCCGGGGGCUGCUCCCCCUGCUCCCACUUCCCCCCACCCGCCUCCCUGGACACCCCUCCCCAACCACCGCCCCCGGGGACACGCGGGGCUGCCCGGCAGUGCCCGCCCCCUUCGCUCGGGGUUCCUGGCGCUCCGGCGGUCAGGUCCCGUUCGGCGGGCACCUCUCUCGGAAAUGGUUUUGCCUUUGGACUGAGUGGGUUUAGAACAAGAAACGAGUUACCGCUUCAGAAGAAGUAUCGAAGUGGGGAAUUCUAGGACGGUUGUUUUCCUUAACGUGGGAAUUUUAUAUGCGCGCAUCCCGGCGUACACCUGCACCAUCUUCUCUCCGCCGGUGGGGCGGUCCGUGAGGCUGCCGGCGGAGCUCAGCCCGGCUGUGUCCUCGCGGCUGCGGGUAGCGAUAGCCGUGCGCGGCCCGAGGGGGACACCUAGUGACACACCUGGGCUGUCGCGUCUGUGGGAGAGACGUGAGGCUGCAGCCGGAGGAAGCGGUGCCCUUGGGAGCCACCUGAACGCAAGGCACGCAGAUUCACACAGAUGUCGAGUGGCUGAAGAUAUUUCCACUAUCCUCCGUACGUUCGAGUGAAUAAAGAAAUCAGACCACAAGAAAUUCAGCAUCCUUCCUAUCCUGCACUUACCUUGUAGAUUUUCUUGGUUUCAAAGCUUAUUUGAUGAUUUAAUGACAAGCAAUCAAACUGUCAUUCAAAUCAGCAUGAUGGAAUGUAAAUUUCACUGCAGGCAAGAGCAAGGUUACACAAUGGGAGAGACAAUCCUGCUAAACAGGCACUUAUUGAUGGGUUCCAAAAACAAACUAUACAGAAGAACAAGAUAGGGGUCAGGAUGAGCAGCUGGCUGAACUUCUGCUGAAUGUGGAACAAGGCAGACAAAACUCCAGGAAAGGCAAAGAAGAAAUAUGCUAAGUACAGCCCAUUGUUUAAGACUGUGCCACGACUUUCACCUUGUGUACUUAUUAUGCUUCCAGCAAUGACACUUGUUUAAAAUGCAGAAACACCCACCUAUCACCUAAGUGUCAUCAGUGAUGCGCUCUUCUCCAGCCAUGAAAGAAGUCAACUCUAGUCCUGAAAAAGGUCAUUCUAGGCUGAUAACUAAACCACACGUAGGAGAAAACAGAACAUCUGGCCAGAAGGAUGAAAGACCUCAAAGUGUAAAACUGCCUAUGAAAACCUUAAACAAAAUCUCCUGACAAAUGCAUUUAUUUCUACUUAGGAAAGAAAGCCAAAUUUGAGAGAUGGUCAGAUUAUUCUAUGUAGCAUUUGAAUGAAGAGGUGAGAAAGAGGAUGGCAGUGUCAAGCAUGAGCUGAUGAGAAGGAUUAAUUCUCAUUCAGGAAUAUAAAAAUGCAGCAGACACUGAUGAUGCUGUUGGAUCAGGGAGCAAUGGAAGAGCUGCAUAAUUUGAUAGUCAGGCUUGAUUGCCAUUUGAAAGUAGGUGGAAGAUACUACUUUACUCCAGAAAGGAUAUAAUAACAGAAGAAUAUAAGGGCUACAACUCUUCUCAAGUCUGGAAACUAGAGAAGCAACUUGGAAUGAGAAUUUGAUCUUACAAUUCAGGAUGUAUGGAACUGAACCGUGCACGUUCCUCUUUUUGUGUUUUUAAUGAACAACAUAAAAAUAAAAGUUUUGUUAAUUAUCUAUAAAAUAGAUUGUUAUUACUGCACAAUGGGUAAAUAGCAAUCAGUCCCUAGAGAUAAUGUUCCUGUACAGGGGAGGCAAGACAAAAAUAAAUAAACCCUUAACCACAAUAAAAUCCAAACCCAGUUUAAGAAAGCUUGUAUUUAUUUCAGCCUCAAUGGAGUCAGUUUGAAACUGUCAGAGAGACACUGUACACCUAUAUACAAAUUCAAGAACAUGGAGUAACUGUUACUUUUUAUUAACAACCAGUUUAAAUAAUAUGAUAGAAGUAUGUCCCUGACAAAGGGGGAACAAACGUGCUUCUUCAAGGUUUUUUAGCUGUUUUGGAUCUCAGCCGUCGCUUGAUGAUCAGAUGAUCACUUUCCUUCUUUUGUUCCUCAGAUUCCUGAAGAAAACAUUUCAAAAGUUACUCAUCUUUUUACACAAGUCUGACAAGCUCUUCUUGACCCACGCAAACAUAUUUCUUCCCCUAAAUGGAUUUCAGAAUGGAAUUUGCUUAUUAUACUUGUUUUGUGAAACAUGAAGCGUUCAGAAAACAUUUUUAGCCUCAAUCCCUGUAGCUAUGACUUGCCCAGAAUUUUCAGUUCUCGGGUUCAGUUCCAUGUUCUCAGAACUACAGUGAGAGAAGAAAUUGUCUCAUCUUCUUCAUCCUCUAACAAAAAAAAUAACAUUUUGGUUUCUGCCCCUAUCAUUCGUCAAAUCAUCAAAAAAUUCAGAGGGAUAUUACAGUAUGGGCAAAUGAUCACUAUGCUGAACAGAAAAAGGACUCUAAUAUAAUUAAAAGAUGCAGUUCCAACAGAGCAAGAAUGUUCUUAGCACAAUAGCUGCCGACAGAGUCAUGAAACUGGCACAUCAGAUCCUUUGCAAGUUGGCUUAGACAGGAGAUCAUAGUUUAAGCAUACCUAAAAAGCUGUCUAAGUUGUGCUCUAGAAAAGCGUGUA